GAUGAACGCUGGCGGCGUGCCUAAUACAUGCAAGUCGAGCGAACAGACGAGAGUGCUUGCACUCUCUUACGUUAGCGGCGCACGGGUGAGACACACGUGGGUCACCUACCUAUAAGACUGGGAUCAUUUCGGGAAACCGGCGCUAAUCCCGGAUUAUAUUUAGCUUCGCAUGACGCAAUAGUGAAAGACUGUUCUGCUGUCUCUUAUAGAUGGACCCGCGGUGUAUUAGCUAGUUGGUGAGGUAACGGCUCACCAAGGCAACGAUACAUAGCCGACCUGAGAGGGUGAUCGGCCACACUGGAACUGAGACACGGCCCAGACUCCUACGGGAGGCAGCAGUAGGGAAUCUUCCGCAAUGGACGAAAGUCUGACGGAGCAAUGCCGCGUGAGUGAAGAAGGUUUUCGGAUCGUAAAACUCUGUUGUAAGGGAAGAACAAGUACGUUAGUAACUGAACGUACCUUGACGGUACCUUACCAGAAAGCCACGGCUAACUACGUG
rnacentral:rRNA from 1 species